rnacentral:rRNA from 1 species
GACGAACGCUGGCGGCGUGCUUAACACAUGCAAGUCGAACGGUGAAGCGCCUUCCUUUUUGGUGGGUGUGGAUGAGUGGCGAACGGGUGAGUAACACGUGAGUAACCUGCCCCCUUCUUCUGGAUAACCGCAUGAAAGUGUGGCUAAUACGGGAUAUUCUGGGUCUGUCGCAUGAUGGGUCUGGGAAAGAUAUUGUUUCGGUGGGGGAUGGGCUCGCGGCCUAUCAGCUUGUUGGUGGGGUGAUGGCCUACCAAGGCGGUGACGGGUAGCCGGCCUGAGAGGGUGGACGGUCACACUGGGACUGAGACACGGCCCAGACUCCUACGGGAGGCAGCAGUGGGGAAUAUUGCACAAUGGGCGCAAGCCUGAUGCAGCGACGCCGAGUGAGGGAUGGAGGCCUUCGGGUUGGGAACCUCUUUCGCCAGUGAAGCAGGCCUGCCUCGUUUGUGGGUGGGUGGAAGGUAGCUGGAUAAGAAGCGCCGGCUAACUACGU